GGACAAAUGAUCAUAAGAACAAAUGAGGAAAUAGGAUAAGUACAUUAACAUUUACCUUUCCGAAGAGUAAUAGGAAGAUCAAGACUAGGAUCAUGGUCACUUGAGACUGGAUCCGACAGUGAAGAGAUUGGUAAAGGACAUGUAUCAUGAGUCUCUGGUCGUCUGGAAUAGACAUGGACAAUAGGAGGCCGAGCGGGUAUCGGUGCAGGUGCAGGUGCAGGAACAUUUGGGGAAUUGACGGAAUAGGGUGUAGGAAUAUCUGGGGAACUGACAGAAUGGAUUAUAGUUUAAACCAAUGGAUUAUCUUCCUCCCCCUGACUGUCAUAAAUUAGAGGAUGAGGAAAAGAAAGGAUUAGUGGUCUUUAACGAAGCCCGAUACUAGCAGAAUUUGGCAUAUUCACCUGCAGGUGCUAGGAUAGUCUUACUUUCUGUCAUUGUCUAAACAAUAAUGUCAGCAAGUCACCAACCUCCACUUCAAAAUUAUGCAAGAGUACCUUCAAGGACUUGUCAAACGUGGCAGUAUCUCACUGGCUACACAGGAACUCAAUACAAAAGUGAUACCUAAAAUCUCUUCAAAAAGGUUGUUGGAGUAAAUGCAGCAACUAAAAAAGGUAACACUAGAUCCAAAAUUCCCAGAAGCAAACCCAGGAGCAACACACACCCAAUAGCAAAAGCAACAAUGUACUCUUCAAUGUACCAAUAAUAAUGCAGGAACAAAUUUAAAUGCCAAACAAUGGAACAAUGAGCAGAUCAUUAGAGUCUCAACUAAACAGAUCCUUAAAUCAAGUCACAUAAAACAAGGCACCAAAAAAUACCAAAGGUAGGUCUUACAAAACCACCUCUGAACACCAUCAAAUAAGACCUUGGUUCACACCAUUGUGCCGGAAGAGGAGUUGAUGGCGGAGAAGAAGCCGGAGCUCGAGUCGACACUGGACGCGCC
rnacentral:misc_RNA from 1 species